rnacentral:rRNA from 1 species
UACGUAGGGGGCAAGCGUUGUCCGGAUUUAUUGGGCGUAAAGCGCUCGCAGGUGGUUCAUUGCGUCGUGCGUGAAAUCCCUCGGCUCAACUGAGGAACUGCCUUUGAAACUGUCUGGCUUGAGGCCGGGAGGGGGUAGCGGAAUUCCCAGUGUAGCGGUGAAAUGCGUAGAUACUGGGAGGAACACCAGUGGCGAAGGCGGCUACCUGGACCGGUUCUGACGCUGAGGCGCGAAAGCGUGGGUAGCAAACAGG